UGUGCCUAAGCAAACAUUUGGAAAAGCCAUCAGACUCACAGUAAAUUCAAACAAAAGUCCUGUCCGCCCAACACUGUCCAUCCUCACCCCAGGUGGGACUGAGGGUGGCAGUCCUGAGGUGUGCCUGGCAGCAGGCUUCUUACCCAAGGAUGAAGUCAUGAAUCUGACCCAGGUGAAAAAGGGUCCUUUAAGCCACAGGACAAUCACUGCAGCUUUGUCAAGUAGUAAUACCUUCUACUAUGCGGGAUACUCCGAAGACGGUAUAGAGAACUGUGAGAUGAUGAACGUUAAGGCUGAGAGAACGAAGAGUACCAGUGAUGAUGACGGAACAAAGAGUACCAGUGAUAAUGACCCUACCAAAGGUAGUGACAUAGCUGUUCCUACUUCGGUCGUUUGCAAAGAUGAGGAACCCCCCUCUGAUCAAACUGAUACCAACUAUCCCAAUUACACAAAGGUGAACUUCACAUCACUAGUUGUGUAUGGUUUAAGAGUUCUGUUUGCCAAAGCCGUGGCAUUCAAUGUGUUAUUUACUGUCAAGGCCCUUGUGUUCUAGGUAAGUGGACUUAACUUUGUUUAUGUGUGGCAGAUUGUUGACAUGAAUUAAUGAAAUUUCAAACCAAUAUAAUAAAAUCCUUCUAUCCCUUACUAUUCUGUUUACAGACCUAUUUGGACUACACAUAAUCAGUUCUAAUUUCCUUCCACGUUUGGUUUGUCAAUAGCUUUUUUACAAAAUAUAAUUAUUUAGUGAUUUUCUCUGUGUUGAAUGCUGUAAUGCUCCCUGCUUGCAAUUUGGAAAUACUAGAGACACGUACUGAAAAACAUUUAUUGUGAAUAUUUCUAUUUACUUUUAUUAUUAUUGUAUUAUUUGUAUUUUAAGUACAUGAAUGCUUUGCAGUUUGUUUAGAAAUGUACAAAGCCUGCCACUAGAGAACCCUAACCACGUUUUCACCAGUACAUUGAAACAGUCAAACCAUAUUAACAGAUUAAGAUCUUUCAGACACCUUGACUUCCAAGAAAUGGCUCCAACUGUUACUUUAUUCGCAUGCGUGCUUGAGCAGUAAGAAGCAUGCAUUAGUGACAAACACAUAGAAUGGAUAUCAACAGUCUACACGUCCUUAUUGAAAAUGCAGCUGGUUUUUAUUUAAUGCUGUAAUCAAAACAAAUAAUUUCAUACUUUUUAGCCAACAACAUUUAAGUGAAUAACAUUUUAAUUUAACAUCAACCUAACCAACCUGCAUUUUAAAUUGUGCCCAGUAGUCAUGUUGAAAAGUAAUAUAAUUCUCUAACUUUCUGGCAUAGGGCAGAAGGGUUUGUGCCACAAUCUUCUUUUAAAUGAUAUCUGGAACGAUCCUGACCAGAGAC
ensembl:lncRNA